UACGGAGGGUGCAAGCGUUGUCCGGAUUUAUUGGGUUUAAAGGGUGCGUAGGCGGUCUUUUAAGUCAGUGGUGAAAGCCAACAGCUCAACUGUUGAACUGCCAUUGAUACUGGAAGACUUGAGUACAGACGAGGUAGGCGGAAUUGACGGUGUAGCGGUGAAAUGCAUAGAUAUCGUCAAGAACACCGAUUGCGAAGGCAGCUUACUAGACUGUAACUGACGCUGAGGCACGAAAGUGUGGGGAUCAAACAGG
rnacentral:rRNA from 1 species